UACAGAGGUCUCAAGCGUUGUUCGGAUUCAUUGGGCGUAAAGGGUGCGUAGGCGGCGCGGUAAGUCGGAUGUGAAAUCUCGGAGCUUAACUUCGAAACUGCAUUCGAUACUGCCGUGCUUGAGGACUGGAGAGGAGACUGGAAUUUACGGUGUAGCAGUGAAAUGCGUAGAGAUCGUAAGGAAGACCGUGGCGAAGGCGAGUUCUGGACAGUUACUGACGCUGAGGCACGAAGGCCAGGGGGAGCAAACGGG
rnacentral:rRNA from 1 species